rnacentral:tRNA from 1 species
CCGAUUAGAGGGGGUUCGAUUCCUUCCUUUCUUG